UCACUGGGUGCGUGAUGAUUGU
rnacentral:miRNA from 1 species